rnacentral:rRNA from 1 species
UGCAAACUAAAGAUGGCGACCGGCGCACGGGUGAGUAACACGUAUCCAACCUGCCGAUAACUCGGGGAUAGCCUUUCGAAAGAAAGAUUAAUAUCCGAUAGUAUAUUAAAACCGCAUGGUUUUACUAUUAAAGAAUUUCGGUUAUCGAUGGGGAUGCGUUCCAUUAGUUUGUUGGCGGGGUAACGGCCCACCAAGACUACGAUGGAUAGGGGUUCUGAGAGGAAGGUCCCCCACAUUGGAACUGAGACACGGUCCAAACUCCUACGGGAGGCAGCAGUGAGGAAUAUUGGUCAAUGGACGAGAGUCUGAACCAGCCAAGUAGCGUGAAGGAUGACUGCCCUAUGGGUUGUAAACUUCUUUUAUAUGGGAAUAAAGUAUUCCACGUGUGGGAUUUUGUAUGUACCAUAUGAAUAAGGAUCGGCUAACUCCGUGCCAGCAGCCGCGGUAAUACGGAGGAUCCGAGCGUUAUCCGGAUUUAUUGGGUUUAAAGGGAGCGUAGGUG